UAUCGGAACGUGCCCUGGAGUGGGGGAUAACGUAGCGAAAGUUACGCUAAUACCGCAUACGAUCUACGGAUGAAAGUGGGGGAUCGCAAGACCUCAUGCUCGUGGAGCGGCCGAUAUCUGAUUAGCUAGUUGGCAGGGUAAAAGCCUACCAAGGCAUCGAUCAGUAGCUGGUCUGAGAGGACGACCAGCCACACUGGGACUGAGACACGGCCCAG
rnacentral:rRNA from 1 species